AAAACCCGAUGUCGUAGGUUCAAAUCCUACAGAGCGUG
rnacentral:tRNA from 1 species